GGCGGACGGGUGAGGAAUACAUCGGAAUCUACUCUGUCGUGGGGGAGUAACGUAGGGAAACUUACGCUAAUACCGCAUACGACCUACGGGUGAAAGCAGGGGAUCUUCGGACCUUGCGCGAUUGAAUGAGCCGAUGUCGGAUUAGCUAGUUGGCGGGGUAAAGGCCCACCAAGGCGACGAUCCGUAGCUGGUCUGAGAGGAUGAUCAGCCACACUGGAACUGAGACACGGUCCAGACUCCUACGGGAGGCAGCAGCC
rnacentral:rRNA from 1 species